AUUGAACGCUGGCGGCAGGCCUAACACAUGCAAGUCGAACGAGCGGCGGACGGGUGAGUAAUGUAUGGAGAUCUGCCUGAUAGAUGGGGCUAACUACUGGAAACGGUGGCUAAUACCGCAUACUAUCGGAUUGACCCAUCUGGGAUUAUCUCGUAGGUGGGGUAAAGGCUCACCGAGGCGACGCUCUCUAGCUGGUCUGAGAGGAUGAUCAGCCACACUGGGACUGAGAAACGGACCAGACUCGUACGGGAGGCAGCAGUGGGGAAUAUUGCGCAAUGGGCGAAAGAGUGAUGGAGCGAUGCCGCGUGGAUGAAGAAGGCGUUAGGGUUGUAAAGUACUUUCAGCGGGGAGGCGUUAUCCGCAGAAGAAGCAGCGGCUAACUCCGUGCCAGCAGCCGCGGGAAUAC
rnacentral:rRNA from 1 species